AGCUCCAAUAGCGUAUAUUAAAGUUGUUGCGGUUAAAAAGCUCGUAGUUGGAUUUCUGUCGAGGGCAGCCGGUCGGGCCUUAGUGUCAUGUAUCUGGUUUGGUCUUGGCAUCCUCUUGAGGAACGUUUCUGCGCUUCAUUGCGUGGGGCGAGAUUCAAGACUUUUACUUUGAGGAAAUUAGAGUGUUCACGGCAAGCUAUCGCUUUGAAUACAUUAGCAUGGAAUAAUAAUAUAGGGCGUACGUCUUAUUUUGUUGGUUUCUAGGAUAUACGCAAUGAUUAAUAGGGACAAUUGGGGGCAUUCGUAUUGACGCGUCAGAGGUGGAAUUCUUAGAUUGCGUCACGACGAACUACUGCGAAAGCAUUUGCCAAGGAUGUUUUCA
rnacentral:rRNA from 1 species